rnacentral:lncRNA from 1 species
AGUUUUACAGUUUUUGGAUAUUAUGACCCAAAUUUGUGUGUGCUCGGCGGUGACCUCACUUGAGCUCGACUUCUUAUUACAAUCCCUCGGCAUUCACUUGCUUCUCAUGUCCAGCACCAUUAUGAGGGCUGAAAAAAUGGCCGAUAGUUAGAAAUUGUUUUGACGGUCGAAAUCUUGAAACGUAGAGUUUGUACAACACGAAGGUCCAACGAGACAUUGCGCCACAUAAUUAAUCGAAUAGCCUACUGUAGGUUUGGCGGAAGGCAAGCAACGUCUCCUAAACAUAAACGUUAACUUCAAUAUUGAAAAGCGAGCUCCACAAUUUCAAGCAAACAAAAGACAUACUUCUGUUUUCGAUGAAUUCCCUACGAUUAAAAUCCCAUGUUGUGGAAAAUGGGGUACCCGCAGUUGAGGUAAUAACGACGACCACGAACUGUAUCGUCACAGAAAAAGCAGCCUGGCUCCCA